rnacentral:rRNA from 1 species
UACGGAGGGUGCAAGCGUUAUCCGGAUUCACUGGGUUUAAAGGGUGCGUAGGUGGGCAGGUAAGUCAGUGGUGAAAUCUCCGGGCUUAACUCGGAAACUGCCAUUGAUACUAUCUGUCUUGAAUACCGUGGAGGUCAGCGGAAUAUGUCAUGUAGCGGUGAAAUGCUUAGAUAUGACAUAGAACACCAAUUGCGAAGGCAGCUGGCUACACGAAUAUUGACACUGAUGCACGAAAGCGUGGGGAGCGAUCCGG